UGGGCUAGUUGAUUAGCAGCUUCAAUUUUUUCAGGUAAUGGGCGGACAUGAAUAGAAGCGAUAGAGGACCAAACCCAAGCGAGAAUUGGAUCGUUGCUUGCAAUUNNNNNNAUCAAUACCAACAUCCUCCCCCGCAGCGCCAUUUCCGAAGCCUAAGAUACUCUCGAGCCAUUUCACGUCACCAACAGAAGCUUCAAGGAGAUUUUGCACUUUCC
rnacentral:misc_RNA from 1 species